rnacentral:lncRNA from 1 species
AAAAACAAAACUAACUAAGACAUGGAUCAGAGUUUAAAAGAACAACAAAAAAUCCCUUAGACAUAGAUUAACUUUCCGCAGCUUUUAAAUACCAAACUUCAAGUUAUUAAACCUUAUUUUAUUUUUCUUUUGAAUAAACAAAAUUUCAAGUUAUGGGUUAUAUAUUAAACAGACUUAAAAAAUAUUUUUAAUGUGACUACUUUUCUGGAACAAAAGUUUUCAUCUUCUUUGAAUGAUGGGUUGAAAUAUGUAACCUGAGCUGAAGAGGAAGGAGAGAAGAAGAAGACUGGUUACUAGUCUGAAGCCUUUUCCCAUUCCAAGAAGCUAAACCCAAACUCUUCUUCUCUCUAAAAGCUCUGAAUCGUCCCCGUCUUUUGUCAACGAAUCUUUCAACGAUAUUAGUAAGGGCGUGAGGGAGAGAAAGAGAAGCUAUGUGUUUAAAACUUGAGUUUAUGGAGUUGAAAAAGGAGGGAAGAGUUCUGGAGAAAUCAAGGGAGAGAGAGAGAAGUAAUGAUUUGUUUGGGAUUUAGGUUUUUGUGGGCAAUGUAUAAUGUAAUGUGGGCUACUUCUAGUGAGUGAUGUUAGUAAUGAUGGUUUUUCUCUCACACUUUUGAUUCUUCUAUUCCCUGGUUCCUCCUUUCUUUACUUUUUUUUUUUCAAUCACAAUAAGGACUUUUCCAUUAGUUUUCUUUCUUUCUUGAACCUAUACAUAAGCAUAAAUAAUUGGGUCCCUAAAUAAUUUGCCGCUAAAAUAAGCAUAAACAAUUUGAGUAGUGGGCCUCAGAUAGCUAAAAGAUAUAAAUUUAACUAAAGGUUUUAACAUAAACAACAACAACAAAAAAAAAAAAAAACUAGAGACUUAAACAAAAGGGAGAAUUUGCCAAGUGGUAAUAGUCUGAGAUUUUAGUUUGGUAAAAGACAGAACAGUACUUGCCGGAAAAGAGAUCUAUACUGUGUAUGUAAUAACGAUUAAACUAGCUAUAAAUGAUUACUAAUACACUUAAUGAUAUGAUAUAUAUUCAGUCAAUUUGAUAUUUUGGAUGAUCACAAAAAGUUGGUUACAAAAGAAAAUGACAAACUUCAAAUAUUUAAAGUCGCAGAGGUUGAAGUUUAUCGAAGAUUUAUGAGUUGUGGUCAUAGUCAAAAGGAUGUCUCAGAUUAUGAUAACCUAGAAAGUUAAAACAAUAAUAAUGAAUGAAAUUCUGAAAAAAAAAAUAGAUUUUAUACUCAUUACACAGCCACAAAGUUCAGUAAUUAUAACAUUUUUAGCUAGGAUUUCAUAGUGCUAAUAUACGUAUGAAAUAAUAUUGAUCGGUCAAACUAUGCCAUCCGAGAAGAUCUGAAGAUUGCACGUCUAAAAAUUCACCUGAUCCAAGUUGCCAAAUUUUGUUAUACAUGGAUGUGAAUUUUAUUGAAGGUAACUCUACUCAAAAUGUUACGCCAGCCACCCCCACAAUUACGGCUUUUUGAUAGCUUCGACCUAAAAGAUAUACUAUAAUAUUUUAUUUUGUUUAGUUUCAACCUUUUAGGAUUUUGUAAGAUUUUUAGUAUAGUAUAUUUAAUUUUCUACUUUAGUAAAUUAGUAUAUUCUCUAUUUCUUUCCGGUAAAUCUAUCGAUAACUCCACGAGUUCAAAAACCUUGAUGACUUCCACAUUCUUACAGUGACGAGUUUCUUGUGUCAUCGACGAGUUUCUUGUGUCAUCGUCGUUAUUUUCAGUACGUCACUUUCUCAUUCCACAUCGAUAUUCGCCUACAAUUGGAUAUAAUGGAAUGGUUCAUUUAUUAUAUAUCAAUAAUUUAUGUUUAUAUGUCUAAUUUGAAUUGUCACACACAAAAACAAAUGUCCAACUUGAAUUAAUCCCGCCAUGCAUGCAUGAUCCAUGAGAUCUACUCUCUUAUCUAUGUUUGAACUUAAGCGCUCUUGCUUUGUUAAAGCGAUUUUCAAAGAAAAAAAACGAUAUUCAUUCUUGAAAUAAAAAGUAAUUUGAAGCAACAAAGUUUGAUGUAACUUAUCAAAAAAAAAACACAAAAGUUUAAUGUAAUACCGAAUUUGAAAUAAAGGCUAUGAUUGGUAACCAAUUUUAAAGCUGUACAGCUUUGACAGUUACCAAUCACAAAAGCUUUAUGAAAAGCGGUACACUAAAAAAAAAAAAAAAAAAAAAAAACUGUUUUUUUGGACAAAAACAAAAAUAAAUUAAAACGGUUACGGUUAAAUACAGUUAUGGACGGUUACGAUUAAAUACGGUUAUAACGGUUACGGUUAAAUACGGUUAUAACGGUUACGGUUACGGUUACGGUUACGUUUACAACGGUUACGGAUAAUUAUGGUUAUAGUUAUUUGAUGACUACAAUACGGUUAAUAUCGGAGGCGAAAUCUUACGAGGUACCUAACUUAUUAUAAUACUUUUCAUAAAAUCAAAAUGUAUGUUACAAACCAAAUUUUCUUCAUCUCGAGCAAAAUAACAGUAUAACAUAUUUGUUUGAGAAAAAGAUCAUUUUUUAUAACGUAGAUUUUUUCAUAUGCGGUACCAUUUACUUUUUUGAAAAUCUUAAUCUGAAUAUUCGAUAAUUUUUUUUGUAUUAUAUGGAGUUACAAUUAUAUUUUUAAAGUUUUAACUAUGCGGUUAACCAUAUGGUUAAAUAACGAUUUUCAUAUGUUUACCGUUAAUUAACGGUUACGGUUAAUAUAUAUUUUUAACUGUAAUUAAUUAUUUUUUACGGUUACGUUUUUUAACCAUUUUAUACGGUUACGGUUGAGAAACGGUCCGGUUACGGUACAACAUAUGGUUACGGUUAGCUUUUGGUCAUGCCUAGUAAGCAUGACCAAAAGCUAACCAUAACCGUAUUUUGGAUCGUAACUAGACCGUUUUUCAACCGUAACUGUAUAAAACGGUUAAAACCUAUAAUCAUUCACCGUAAAACUAGAUUAGUUACGGUUAAAAAAAAUAUACUAACCGUAACCGUUAAUAUACCGGAAACGUAUCAAAACCGUUAUUUAACAGUACGAUUAGCCGCACGGUUAACCGUAUUAUUAACCGCAUAAUUAAACUUUAUAAAAUAUAAUUGUAGCUAUGUAUAAUGCAAAAAAAAAAAAGUCUCGAAUGUUCAGAUAAAGAUUUCCGAAAAAGUAAAUAAUACAGUCUAUGAAAAAAUCUCAUUUGAAAUAAUGGUUUUUUUCUCAAACAAUUAUUUUGGAAUGUUAUAUUACUCAAAAUAAAGAAAAUUUUAUUUAUUAUAGGACUAGUAAAUUCAUAUUAUUAUUCUAACAAUAAAAUAUUGUUCAUUCUAUAUAAUCUUAAUUUUCAUAUGUAAUUAUAUACUAAAGUACAUUUCUAUAUAAUUUUUUCUUUCUUUCUAAAUUUUUAAUAUUAUUUAUUAUGUGUACCGCUAUGAUGUUUUUAAUCAUAAUAAAUUUUUAAAAUUUGUUAUGCGUUAUUUUUUUGUACAGCUUUCGUGUUUUAUUCUUUUGUACAGUUUUACACUAUUCCCUAACAGCUAACAGCUCCAGCUAACCGCUCCAGCUAACAGCUAACAGCUUGUUACCAAUCAGACCCAAAAAAGGUAACUAAACGAUAAUAGAAUACUCUUUAGUUUGUUAAAUAUAGCAAAUUGAUUGAUUUAACUUUAUGCUGAUGUAGGACCCAAAUAUGUUACAAACUCAUAACUUUUGACUAAUCUCACACCAACUUUGUGUAUUUAUUAUUCACAUUUAUGUUGUUGUACAUUAUUCAUUCAAAUCCACGUUACUGUCUCAUUCCAACCUCUAGGUAAUUAACUAGGGUUAAUUUAAUAUAAAUACAUAGAAGAAUGAAAAAUAAAGAAACUAGCCAUCAUUAAUUAUUAUUUAGUUCUCUCUCUUCCUUUUUUCAAAAAUGCUAAAACUACCCCUUCUUAUAUAUAUACGUUAACAAAAAAGAUAACGAGAUAAACAUUUUAGUUGGAUUCCGACAAUAGUUCUGGUCAAAUUUUCGGUAAUGAAUCAGUUUCUAUUUUAGAUAGUUAAUUAUUUUGUUAGCAUGAUAUCUAUUUUUUGUUUAAUAUGUUAAAUAAUUUGAUAUCGCGAUAAAUUUACACAUUAUAUAUUAAAUAUGUUUAUUGAUUUAAAAUUGUGAAUCAAUAUUUUAUUUAUUUAUGUAUAUAUAUAUAUCAGUUCAAUGAAAAACGAUUAGUCUUUCUUUUACAUGAUUAACAUGAUAACAUUUAUAACAACAUGUUAUAUAUAAUGUUAACGAGCUAACAUAUUAAAUAUCCGAAUAAUAUUUGUAUGAACAUGGUAAGAUAGUUUAUAUAUGGAUAAUAUCAAUAUUAACGUGUAACUUAUAAAUAAUAUUCACCAAUAGAUAAUUGAUAACGAGAUUAGCAUGAUAACAAAAAAAAUAACCGGUUUGUUUUACAUCUGCUCACCAACGAAGUAGGCUGAGAAGACGGCGACACUUAUAUGAAGCCUAGGAAAAGCAUGUCCAAUUGGAUUCGAAAGCAACAUAUGCUUUUUUAUACAUCUCUUCGCCUUGUCGGAAGAACCCAAAAGCUUUAUCAUUUUUUCAGGAUGAAUCUUGACCGUCCGUUAUCUCUUUCGUGUUUGCCUCCGAACUCUUGAAGAAACACAACAAAAUUGUCGGAAAAUGCAUAUCAUUGAUGAUGAUAAUAACAUACAUAGUAAGAGAUGCAAAGCUUAUUCGACGACAUUGAUGUUUUGUUGGAGAGAUGAUGGAGGUGAUAAGAGAAGAGACGUCGGAGGAGACACUGAAAAAACAUGAUCGAAGAAGAGAAAAACCUAUACUCAUUUUUGAUCUUCAUCUCCCUUAAAUCGAAAACCAGUCACCUUAAUCUUUGACUUCGCCGAAUCAAAAUUACCACGGUCAAAAGUACCACCCUCUCGAAACCAUGAUUUAAUUUACCGUCACAAUGGAGCCACACAACUCACUCGUUUUGCUUCUCCAGUCAGUUUCGGUUCUCCACCAAAAAGAUUUCUCAAUUUCACCACUUGUGUCAAUAUUAAUUGUGGUUUUGUUGGUUUCGUGGAGAAAGAAAGAAAGAGGAGAAGAUAAAGAGAAGUGAUAAGAAUGUCUUAAGGGUGCUAUUGUCUUUUGUAUAUACACAGUAAAUGUCAAAUAGUGUGGAGGAGAGAGAAUUAAUUAUUGAAUCUUUCGUUGGCAUUUCUUAUAGAUUUCCUUUAACUAUCUAUAGUUAUAUUUAAAAAAAUUUAGACCUUUAUUAUUAAAGUUUGUAUCUUUAUUUGCAGUGGAUGCGGAAUUACCUUGUUGAAAAGUUGCGGUAAUAUUUGCAAUAUUAUAAGGUUAAAAUGUGCAUUUAAUUUAGAGAAUUGAUAAAGUAACCAAAGAUACAACUUUCGGUGUUGCAAAGUAAUGAUAAGAAAAGAAUAAAAUUGGUUCACUGUUUCUUCUCUUUAUUUGAGUAAUAAUAAGGUACGGAAUGAGGAAUUCACAUGAAUAUGAGAGCAAGUGGGGCACGAAUUGGUUAGCAACAACAUAGGAAAUGAAAAAAUAGUUUAUUUCGGGCCGAAUCUAUCCAAAUUUAGAUUGAUAUAAAUCUCAUGGUUGUAUGAAAAGAAUAUAUCACUCCUUUUUUGAACUGAAUUAUUUUUAAAGAGUUUUCAAUUUUCAUUAAAGAAUUGUGUGGAUACAAACUUUGGAUCGACAACUUCAGGUUUUACAAAAUCACCAAGAGAAGCUAAAUUUUUCCAUAGAGGAGGUUUUGUAAAUUAUUGUGUUUAUUAAAUGAUCUAAUGGUAAUUUAGGUUAGGUGGAAAGCGAAUAAUGUCUCUUUUAUAUUUUAAACACAGAGAAAUCUGGUGGGAGUAUGUUGUAUCUUUUAGAUUUUACUACUAAUGCAACUUUCGUUCCAGUUUUCUAUUGUAACCAUGUAGACAGAAAUAUAAAUGUAGCUCUAGUGAAAGUGUCAAAAUGGUUUAAUAUGUCCGCUAAGGAAUGCACACUAGUCGAAAACGUCAAAGACUUGCUAAUUGAUUGUAUUUUUUUUGUCAAAAAGUAUGUAUGUCUAUAAAUCUUCAAUUAUUUUUAUCUUAGAAAAUAAUAAGUCAAGAGUGAUUUUAAAGAUCCCUAUUAUCCAAUACGAAAAGAAUUUGUUACAUCGUAAGUUCCCCUAAAAACUCUAUGAUAUUUGUUAUAGACAGAGUCAAACGAAAGUUCUUAACCUCUUAUGCUACAUCUUUGGAUACAACUAAAUCUUCUUGCACUCUUUUAAAAACGCAUUUCGUAAAACAAAAAAGAUAAAUGAGAAUGCAGAAGCUUGAGAUCUUACUGUUUCACACUCUCAUUGAUUCAUCAUCUUUAUCACCACAAAGACUCAGAGUGAUGAACAGAAUCAUAUCAUCACAAGGAACAGAAUUGAUCCAGCACAAACUCUCUCAACACACUUCCUUCUUCGGCAUCAAGCUAUGGAUCCUCAUUACAGCUUCUGCCUCCAUAGCCUUCCUCUUAGUUCUCAUCAUUUCUGUCCUCCUCUGUUUCAUCUUUCACAGGAGAAGGUGUAGACAAGAACCAUUCAGACUAAGAUCAAAGCUUUGUCUGCCUUUAUCACACAUUCCCAUAAAUAACAAACGACAGAUUCCAUACAACCGUUGCGGCGAUGAUGUAGAGAGCCAGAGAAUCUCUCAGGUUGGUUGGUCCUCUGCUCAUCUUUCCUACUACACACGCAGCUUCUCCUCUACCGGCAGCUUUGGAAGCUUCAAUGUGUUUACGUUCUUGGAGAUCAAGAACGUGACAGAUAGUUUUGCAGAUUAUAAUCUGAUUACUACAGGAGAUUCUUCAACGGUGUAUCGCGGAAUCUUGAUGGGUACAGUCACUGUUGCUGUCAAACGGUUCUUCCCCAUCCAUCAAAGGUUUUUACAUUUUUGCUUGACCCCUUCAUAUAUCUUAGAAUCUUAAUAUUUUUUGAUCUGAGAUCCGAGUAAAAAUCAGGUAUGAAGAUAAAGAUUUCAUAACAAAAGCUGAGAUGAUUGCAAAUGUUAGACACAAGAAUGUUGUGAGACUUCUUGGAUACUGCAUUGAAGGAGAUGAGAGGUAUAUAAAUAUAUUACCUCUGAUGUGUGACUUGCGUUAGAAUGUAGACUCAUAGUUAAGUCUGAAUAAAUUUUAGGGUUCUUGUUUAUGAAUACGCUGAGAAAGGCGAUUUGCACGAAUGGCUUCAUGGAUCUUCCGGGAGAAAUCGGCCUCUGACCUGGAGGAAGAGGAUGAAGAUCAUUCAAGGAGUAGCAAAAGGGUUUGAUAUGAUCAUGACACAUUUUGUUUUCUUGAUUUCUUUUAUGUAUGAAUGAUUGUGAUGGUUUAAUUAUCUUUUUGUUUUGAUCAGCCUCGCGUAUUUUCACGAGGACAUAGAACCAAAGAUCACUCAUCAAGACAUAAGACCAAGCAAGAUUCUUCUUGAUUAUCAAUGGAACCCUAAGAUACUUGAUGUUGGAUUCAUUGGUCACAGUGAUAUUCCAACUUCGAUUCCUUCACCUAGUAAUCUGGAUGAGAAAAUCGACGUUUAUUCCUUCGGGACUUUGAUAAUGGAGCUUGUCUCUGGAAGAGUCUCUGUAGACCAAAGUUCACCACAUGUGAGAGUUCAUAUACAUAAUACAUAUUUUAUCACAAAGCCAAUGUUAGCUUACCGGAAACAAUGUUGUUCUUGGCAGGUUUAUCUAGUGGACUGGAUCAAAGAGAUGGUGGCAAAUCAUAUGAUAGUAGAUGUUCUUGAUCCUAGCCUUCCCGAAUUUCCUACAAUAAAGGAACUCAAACGGAUUGUGUUGAUUGCCUUGCGCUGUGUCGAUCUCGAGGUAGAAGAGAGACCUAAAAUGGGAGAUGUGAUUCACAUGCUCCAACCACAUGACUUGCUGUUGAGUAACAAUGUAAUAAAACUUUUGACAUUUAGUUUCUUGUUCCCCAAGCUAAAAAGAUAGUAAUCCUUAUUUUGUUCUUUCUCUGAUGCCAGGCAAUACAGAAGCCUCAGAAGGUUACCCGGUCACACGAGGUUUCUGCAGUAAGUAUUAGACAAUGAGUCCCAAGCAGCAAUAAAUGAUUGCUAACUUAAGAUCUUCUGCUAUGUAUUUUAUGUUACAGCAGUCUCAGUUGUAUUGAUUUGUUUUGCAUCCCUUAUUCGAGUUUAUGUAGGAUUUUGCUUAUUGUAAUUGCAAGAGCCAACUUUGUGACGUAUUUUACAAGCAUAUUAAGUCAAGGCUCUGAAACGCAGCUUGUUAUAUGACUUCUCUAUAUACCACAUGUGUUGCUAUUGAAGAAGGUUGAUGCGGGAUGGUAAUCAAGAAGAUAAAUUUCUUCAACCAUAUAUGUAGAGGAACACUAACAAAAUAGAAACAAAUUAUAAUUUCUAUAAAGUAUUAAACAACGAUUUCAUAAUCUUGGUUUCCAAAGAACUUGAAUAACAAUAUAAAAACUAUAGAAUAAUGAAGUUUGAAGCCUAAUGACAUAUAUGAUCCUUACUAUAGAUCAGAGAUUGAUUACAUCUUGAAAGGAGAUCACAGUCUUGAAUUGAGUGGAGAAAAGAAGCUGAGAUGAUGGUGAAACCCUAUACAUAGAUUCUAACUCUUUUCUCAUCCGCCUUUCAUCUUCACCAGAAGUAGUUGAUUCAAUGGAGAUUCUAGCUCUUUUUAAACACUUAGAGUUGGCCAGUAUAUAUUUUACGACUUCUUUCUCUUCGUAAUGUCCUCCAUAUUGUUUCCACUCAAAGAUCUCAAGAUGGGCUGAUAAACACUCUGGAAAAGAACUUUGUCGGUUGAACAAACGUGGGAAACCCUCAUGUCGUAUAUUUGACUGUGAAGCAACAUUAAAGAAUGAUAUUAAUAUGAUGUAACUAAUAUGUUUAGUUCAAUUGAAAUUUAUUUGUCCAUCAAAACUGUAUGUGAGGGGGGUACGAACCGUGUCGAUGCGAAGAACUUUUAGUUUAGGAGAAUUUUGAAGAAAAUGCAUGAAUGGUUCCAACCAUUGUAUCCGAAUUGGACGAAUAGUACACGUUCUAAGCUGGGAGAACUUAAUGGAGGUACAAUACGGAUCCUGCAAUGAACAUAUAUAACAACAAAUAAGUAGACUUUGGAAAUUUGAUCAUCAUAAUAACAAUAAGAUCAAUGAAUAAAAAAAAAAAAGUGAGCUUGAAAUUAAAGGCACUAUGCGUACAGUUUUAGAUCUCAAAUAUAACUUGAGAUACAUGACGGAGGAAAGAGAUGCCAUAAACUUGUCAUCAAGAUAACAAUUUAAGCCAACAAGGGCAUAAUCAAGGCGAGGUUCGUUUUCAAUGGAGCAAGAGUUUCCCGAAUGAUCUUGGAUGAAGAGUUUUCUUAAAGUUGCAGAACCAAUAACCAAAGAUCCAACAUUCCCUACUCCUAGUUUCAAGUAAAUAUAACAUAAGGUCUCUAGAGAAGGCACGUUCACACUAAACAUUGUCACGUUGUCUUGGUCAUGUCUUUCUACAUAUAAAUGCUUGAGAAUACGACAACCUGAUAAAAACCUAACAAGAGAAUCUUCAUCUUUAUAUACGACAGACUCAAGGGAAAGAGUUUUUAGGGAUGGGAGGCAAACUGGAGAAGGAACAUCCACGAGAAUCUUGUCGGAAACGUAAAGAGAAACAAGUUUAUCGCAUAUGUAAAAGCUCUCCGGCAAGCUGAUAGGCUUUGACAACUAGCUGAGCUUGAACCGAAGCUUAUGCGCCCUGCACUUAACUACAUUGACAAGAAACUUUCCAACAUCAUUAUCAGGACAUCUUGCACCGAGUUCUAUAAUCAAGCUUUCUAUUACAGGAGCCUUAUGAAGUUGCAAUGACUGGUCCAUAAACCACCAAACACUUCCUUUCUUUCGAUGAUUAUAGUCACUAUCCAUGUACGUGAGUUGUGGUACCAUCUUCCAAAUAGAUUGCCAUCGUUUGGACAAAAGCAUGGUAACCACUGCAUCCUCUGUAGAGAGAUACGACAAUAUCUUGAUGAGCAAAUCAUCGGGUAAUUCACUAAUCGUCGUCCCAACCAUUGGUGCAGCUUUGUCCCAACCUAUCAUCUUAUUCUCAAUGACGAAGCUGUACCAAUGUUUUAGGGUUAAUAAAUUGAAUUUGCUUAAAAUCUGUUUGCCGUUUAGUGUUGAUUGUUUUUAAUAACUAUGUAUUUAAUGCGAUAAUUAUGAAAUUAUAUUAUAUUUAAGAAUCUGCCAUCAAAAUUGAUUUUUUUUUUUACUUUAUGUAUUAUAUGAUGAUUCAAAACAGUUAAAAACAAAUCAAACAAAGAUGAUAGGAAAAUCAUAAUUAUAAAUCUUAAUCAAAUCUUCUAAAUAUCUAAAUUAUUAAAUAUGGAAUAUCCGGUGUAUGAGUUGGGUUAAAUAUAACCCGAUCCAACAAAUUUUUUGUGAAGGAAUUUUAAAAACAGGUUUGGUAUCCGAUAUACCCGUAAGCAUUUUUACCUACCCGUCACCAAAGUGUUGCAAAAAUACUAGUAUAGAUAUUUAAAACGUUUAAUAAAGUUAAACUUUUUCUAAGUAAAUUCAUAAAAUUAUUAUAUAAAUGUGAUCAAAUUACAUAUAUAUAUUUUGUUUUUAAAACAUUCCUAUUGUUGAUCGUUGCUUAAGUAGUACACCACAUUACUCUUUCUCCAAUAAUACUUUCACGCUUAAAAAAUGAGAUCAAAUCAAAAGAGGAUUGCUAUAAACUUCUACUUUCCUGCAAGAAAAAAUAAACAAAUUAAAUUAAGAAUUAUAUGGGUGAAAUUAAAUAAAUAAAUCAAAUUAAAUAUUGUUACGAUCUAUUUUAAGCAAUCUAUAUUUAUGUCAAUGAAUAAAAAUUAAUUAUUUGCUAAACUGAUUCAAAAUUGAUUUUCAAAUUAUUAUUCUUUCCAAAAUCUUAACUAAAGAUUUGAGCAUUAAACGUUUUUAAAAUGUAUUUAUAGUAAGUGAUUAAUUUUUCCUAAAAUUUCUAUAACAGUUGUAUGAAAUUCAGUUAGUUGUUUAGGCAAAUAAUUAAUGGAUUAAGAUCAACGUGAUUAUUGCUAANNNNNNNNNNNNNNNNNNNNNNNNNNNNNNNNNNNNNNNNNNNNNNNNNNNNNNNNNNNNNNNNNNNNNNNNNNNNNNNNNNNNNNNNNNNNNNNNNNNNUAUAGUAGAAUUUAAAAGAACAUAGAUGAGAUAAGAUAUGUGAUAUUAAUUAGUUUAGAUUGUGAAUAUAUUCGAAAUCAAUUAGAGAAUAAAGUUAUUAAGUUACGAUUAAUGUGGCAAUUAGUUUAGGUAAUAAUAACAAACUGAAUUCUGCGAAUGGUAAAUGCUAAGUAUCCGGAGAUGAUUAAUAUGGAAAUAGUAUAAGAAUAAGUAGAUGAAUUAAAGACAACAUGACUUCAUUUAUCAGUUUGAAAUUAAGACAACAUCUCUAAAAUUGCUUAUCCAAGAUCCGAAUAGACUAAAACCGGGUCAAACCCGGAUCCAAAAGAAUUAAAGCAAAAAAGUACUGUAAAAAUGUGUAUGUAGAUACUGUUUUUUUUUUUAUGACCAAUUAUUAGAUUUAUAAAAUCGGUCAGUUCCAACAACCGGUAUACGAGUAAACCGGGAUUAUAAGUGUUCUGAAGCUUCUACACCAAUCACCAAACACCUCUCCUCACGAAGAUCUUCAGCUUCAAGGACUUUGAAUCGUCGAAUCUCUCUAUUAGUUAUGAUCUCCAACUGAUUCUAACUGGGUAAUUUUCAAAAACUUGAAAAUUGAGUGUUUCCGACCGUCGAAUCGGAUUCGAUGAACUGGGUUCAACGAAAAAUCUAUCUUUACAACGUCACCUUCGGGCUUUACAUGCUUGAUUGGUGGGAACGAUACCUAUUCAGUAUCCUUUUCUCUAUGAUCUAUCUGAUCUAUUUGAACUCUUGUUGCGAAUCUUAUCUUAUUCGGUUAAAAGUUUGAAUUUUUGGGCCUGAUUGGAAGGAGCUUUAGAUGCUGUAGAAAGCCAACUUUUCUUUCUAAAGCCAAAUAGCAAACCAAUCAUUCUUUUACUUCAAAAAAAAAGCUACAGCACACAAAAUAAAAAAAAGGAAAUAUAUGGGCUUUGUAAAUCAAAUUUUCUACAGCACACAAAAAUGAGCUUUGGGAUAUUUUCUCGUUCUUCUCUCUACGGUUCUUUCCUUCUUCUGCUUUCUCGCUUUUUUUUUGGUUAUAAUAUAUUUCUAAUAUUUAUUUAUUUCCAAAAAUUUAAGUUUACAUAAUAAAUACAUAAAGCUACAACAUACAACUAAAAUUUACCAAUCAUACUUUUAUUUUAAAACUCACAGCUACAAUUCUACAGCUACAGCAAGAAAAUCCACAGUCUAAAAUCUACAGCAAAAAAUCUAGAGCUACAGCCGUAACCAAUCAGGCCCUUUAUUUGUUCAGCUUCUUUAGCUACGUUAUCUUUUGUUAGAAAAUUUUCAUUUUGAGAUAGAAUUGAGCUAUUCUGGAUUUGAUAAUGUUAAUGAAGUUUCAAAAUUUAGAAGUUUUGUCCAGCAAAAACAAAAACCAGAACUCUUGCCAUUUUCCUUAACUCUAUUUUUUUUCCCAGAUUCUUUGGUGAUAAUCUUGAUGUGGUUUAUUCUGUACAAUGGAUCUCGCUAUUUUUCAGAGCUCUGCAAGAGGUAAGUUUAAUGAUAUUUAUGUGUAGCUUUAUUUUGAUUUAGGCUUGGGAUUUGUCACCAUCUCAAUUCCUAGAUAUACUUAUAUGUUAUACUAGUUUCUAUCUCUAGUUAGGUGUGUAUAUGUAUCUAUGUUCUAUUGAUUUAGAUAUCUAUAGGGUUUUAUUUGUUUGUGGAUUUUACAUCACAUUUGAUAUUAUAUAUCAUCCGAUUGUUGGGAACUACAUUGAAUAUAUAUGAUAUAUGAUGCACUCUAUGCUAUCUCUUUGCUAAGUUAAAUCCUUAUAAAAAGAUAUUGUGAUGUUCCUUUGAUCUUUGUGCUUAAAACGGAUUUAGAGGGUUGCGAGAGUUUGCUUACGUAUUCGAAUGUCUAAGGCAGAGCGAUUUCAAUCCAUCUGCUUAAUUCCUCAUUAGGCUUCAAUAAAUGUAUAUGGCUAUUGUUAUUGAAGGUCAAUUGAGUUUUCUAGUUCGAAUUGCCAAAUUAACAUAAAGUGCGUCUAUGACCAUGACCGAGUUACAAGAAGAUGAUUCUUUGGGAUUUUGAUCUUAGGUUGUGUCAAGUAUGCUCAGAAGAAGCAUCUGAAAUCACUUUCUUGAUAACCCUCUUGCGUUGUUAUUCACUGCUUAAUUAUGUUAAAUCCUUCCAUAUUCCACAAGCAUCUUUCAUGAAACCAGGUCAUAGUCAUCACGCCAUGGAAGCAUGAAACCGACAUGGUUAUCUGAGACGUAUGCCAACAAACUCCUUUGUUCUGCUUUGCACCUCCUUCUUUGGCAUAAUUUCUGAUCAUGUAACUGUUCAUAUAUCAUUUAUUCCCAUGUAUUUUUUGGAAUGAACUUCCUUUGUUCGAUUCUACUUGCUUCUACUUCAAAUUUUGAGACAGGGCCAAAUCAACUACUUGCAUCUUUUGAUGUUUAGAGUCCAUGAACUCAAAAAUUUUAGGUGUUUUGUGGGCACUUAAAGCUUAACGAAUAUGAUAUAAUCUCCAUUUUGUUUUCAUUGAUCUCCUGAUGUUGUAGUAGUUCAAGUUCCGAAUUCUGGAUUCGAAAGAUUUUGUGUCCUCUGUAGUGACGGGUUUCUAAGAAAGGAUACAUGUCUAUGUGCGAAGGAGAGUCCAAGAUUUUUCAUUCUAGUCCAUAAUUGUCCCAGGGUACAAACAAAAACAAAUGCAAAUCAUCCCAAAAUGUUUCAAAACUAUACUUAUAUGCAAACCACAAGAAAGAAGCAAAAAGCUAUAGAAUUUUUUGCAAAUAUGUAGCAACUAGCAACGUAUCGAGCAAGUUACUGUGUCUUGUCUUUUCACCAAACCUUUAUAAUUGUGGCAUUGCUUAUGGCAAUAGCCGAUUUUGUCGUUCGGUAUUGUAAAUAUUUGAUUUUCUUCGAUUAGGAGUCCAUUACAUUUUAACCAAGAUAAAUCAUAUAUUAUAUAUAUAUAUAUAUAUAUAUAGAGAGAGAGAGAGAGAGGUGAAUUAAGAAAGCUUACCUUCGUUUGGGAUAUAACGAAAUGAAAAUUACCUUAAACCGCAGUUGCUCGAGUUAAACCGGAAGAAUAACCUUUAACCGGUGUUGCUCGAGUCAUAGAAAAUAAAUGUUCUUUAAGGAAACGAAAUUCAAAAUAAAAACCGGACGAACCACCUUAAACCGGUGUCCCAGCUUCACAAUCUAGAACUAUGCCAUGUGUGUACAACUGUACAAAACUGGGCAUUUGAAUUUUUAUUUUCUGAAACGGAUCUUCUUUUUCAAAUUUUGAAUUCUCUAUUUAACGGAAGCAAGUGGUCGUUAGAAGAAGAAGAUCGUAAACAAAUCUCUCUCUCUCUCAUUUUUGUGAAACCCUAAAUUUUCUGUUUUUGCAAAAUGUCUAAAGAAGUUGAGUACCGGUACUUUUUUUUUCUCUGGCGAUCAAAAACUAGAAAGGGCGUGUUCUCUCAAUUCGGCUAUGGUUAUCAAUUCUAAGGUUAGUUGCACGAGAAAUCAAACUCCCGGAUUUUGGGUUCCGAUAAUUCUGAUUCUAAAGAUUGGUCUGUUUAUGAAUUGUGUUUCUCUAUUCCUUGACUCGAUUAUUGUUACACGUGAGAUCAAACUUCCCGAAUUAGGGUUUCGUCGAGGCAAUUCCGAUAAUCGUGAAAUGUUUAUGAAUUGUGUUUAUCUGUUACUUGAUUCGAUUAUUGCUAUUUUUACUUAAUUUAUCCCAAUCGGUAUGUUAAUCUUCCUGUUUUUAUGAGUGGAGAAGAAAAUAAUGAACUAUUAUAACUAAAUUCUAAUAUUGUAAAAAAAUCUGACUAAAUGUCACAAUUAAAUUAGGAAGACAAAUUAUAUAAUAUAAUUUAAAAUAUAGGGAACUUAUGGGUUGAGAAACUCAAUUUCCGUUGUUAAGGAUAGGAUCCAAUAUAGGGAACUGAAUCCUUUAUAUCAAUUCUCUUCGGGUGAACGACAUGUGUCCCCCCACGAAGUUUCAUAUAGUACCAUAACAACAUAGAUUUCGGGUCUCAUCUCCAGUCCACACAAAACGAAAGUUAAACUUCAGUUUCUCCCUAAAUUGAAAGUUCGAGACCUCAGUCUCCAUAUAUUCAAAUUUCGUGGUUUAUCAUUGGUUUACUGUGCCGAACCCGAUGCCAAACCAAAACCCAGAAUAAUAAACCGAUUUAAAACCCAAUUCGAGUUAUCCCAACCCGAAAUAAAUACCGUUUGCAAGAAUCCCCAAAUUGAGAAAUCUUAGAACCCUAAUUUCGAUUUUUUUCUUCUUCCUCUUCGAUUUCAAUUUUGGUCACAAAUCUAUGCUCGAAUAUGAGCAAUUCAUCUAGAGCUACGAGUGGAGCAUCUAGAGCUACGAGUGGACAGAGAAGGAGAGUUGUGGGUGUGCCGAAGAUGUGUUGGUGUCUACGAGUGGACAGAGAAGGAGAGCUAUGAGCAUCUUCUUUGCCAUACCACUUCAAGAACCCAUCCUUUUAAUUGGUUUACAUGGGGGAACCGUGAUUCUCUUCUUGCUCGUGACCAGAAUUCUCUCCUCUCAGAUAUCAAGAAACUCUUCAAUAAUUAUUACUUAGGGGGUGUUAUUGAAUUGAUGAUUUCAGUGUAUUUUAAAGUAACUGAAUUUGAAAGUACUUUAAUGAAUUUUGACGAAUUCAUUGCAAUACACGAUGGAUUUUGAUGUACUUUUAUGUAAUGUGUUUAGAUUAAUUGGUAUGGAUUUUGCCCAGUUCUCUUUUGACUAUAAUCAUCAUCUUUGCAUCAAUAUAAUAAAAAAGAAGAAGAAUAAUAACUGCUCUGUAACAUAAGGAAUCAGAUAUGGUUCAUGCUUGUUCAAGAUGACGGCAACAACGGUUCAUUGUGGACAAGGAUCGAAAUAGCAACAUAAUUAAGGAAGUUCUAGUGUUUAGAGGACAUGAUUUCGACGGAAUAGAAUUUCAUCUUCCUCAGAUCUGAUUUUCUGUUUUUGAAGUUAGGAACCAUGUUCUUCUUCUUCCUCCUUCCCAGCCAAAACCACAUCUCUCACUUACUUAGUGCUUUGGAUUCUCAGUUAAAUGGAAGAGGAAGAAAUAAUUGUGUGAAUAUUUAUUUUUUAAUUUUUUUUCUGUGAAGUACAUCAAAAUCAGAGAUAAAAGGCUCGUAUUUGUAAACGGUAUUUAUCGAAGAGGAAGAAGAGAAAAAUCGAAAUUAGGGUUCUAAGAUUUCUCAAUUUGGGGAUUCUUGCAAACGGUAUUUAUUUUGGGUUGGGAUAACUCGAAUUGAGUUUCAAAUCGGUUUAUUAUUCUGGGUUUGGUUUGACAUCGGGUUCGGCACAGUAAACCAGUGAUAAACCAUGAAAUUUGAAUAUAUGGAGACUGAGGUCUCGAACUUUCAAUUUAGGGGGAAACUGAAGUUUAACUUUCGUUUUGUGUGGACUGGAGACGAGACCCGAAAUCUGUGUUGUUAUGGUACUAUAUGAAACUUCGUGGGGGGGACACAAGUCGUUCACCCAUUCUCUUCUAACACAAAUUUUAACUAGCCCAUGAUUUAUUUCCUCCAUUCCUUCAUCAAGCAUUAUAGUUUCCUCAGUAAACCAAAAUGUAAGAAUAUUUUUGUAAAAAAAUCUCCAUCUAUUUAAUGCAUUUCUAUUGAUUGAAAUAGGAAAUUCAAAAAAAGUGUUUUGGAAUUAUUUUUGUAAAUAUCAUAAAAGAUCCCUCAUUUUUGUUCGUUCAAAACUACCAAAAUAAUCAAUUGAAGGUAUUCAUCAAGAUUACGAAGAAGGAAGUGUAGUCUGUCGUGAAUCUAGUUAGGGUCGGAAGGAAUUGUCAGUUGUAGAAUCGUCUAUGUAACAGUUCUCAUAAUUUGCAAUUAAUAAUAAAUCUAGACGACAAAAAAAAAAAAAAAACUACCAAAAUAAAAUCAUCACCUAUACUAAGAAACUCUCCCAGGCACGGAACCCAAGGCGCCGCUUCAACAACAAAAUGAGCUUCUCCUUCCGACUUCGCUCCUCCGGUCACCUCCUCUUCUGAUUGGUGUUUGGUACUAAGGUGUGAUCUCUCAGGCGAACCUCCGGUGACGUGGCUGUUUUUCCGGCGAGUUUCUCCUGAGAUAAUUCCCUUCCCUCUAUCGGUUUCGAGCCACUCUCGUCGCUUUCCUUUGUCUUCGGUCGCCUUCCUCGAUCUGAGGCCUCCUCCUGCACCAACACCUGAGCCACCGUCUCCGCCGGCUCCACCAAAACCACCGGACCCACCAGACCCUCAGAUCUGCUUCUGUUUUGGUGAAUCUCUUCCUCAGCUGCCAUUUUCCACUUUCUUUAGGGCGUUUGACUCGCUCCUCCCACCCUCCUCUGCCAGAUCUGGCUUUACUUCGCCGGCGAGUCUCCCUAUCCUCCCUACAAAGGCACUCGUUUUCAUGGGACUGUUACUUCCCGUCGAGUCUCCCUUUGCAAUAUGGUUUGGAAAGCUUGGUGCUCGUCUCUGUCCGGCCACAACCCUUUUCAGACAGGUGGGCUAUGUCGCUGACGCCCCCACCUUCCCUCCUCAAACGCUUCCCCAGGUAUGCUCUUACUCUUCGCCCUCUAAUCCCUCUGAGAUGGGAAUAUAUUGGAUGUUGAUUGAGUUUGUAGCUCUGGUCUGGUGGCUUUCGGAUCUAGUUCAUCGGGUUUCAAUGAGCUUGGAUACUCUUGUGUAUACCUUUGUGUUCUUUUGUAGCACCCAUAUCGCCUUGGUGCGAUCAAUUACUGCAGUAUGCAGAUUCUGUCUCAAUGUGGUUCUGUUAGAAAGUUGUCUUUUGGCAGCUUGGACAGGGAUCCCUGUUUCAGUACAACUGGCUAGUUAAUCUGGCUCAUUGGGAUUUUACUGCCCUCAUCUCUCCUUCAUGGAGCUUUUUAUCCUCCCAUAUGCUUCACUUGUGUUUAGUGAUAGUGUUACAGGGAGCAAUGUUCUCAAGACUGUUCUACUUGAAGUAGAAGCGAAGAUUGUUGAAAAAGACUGUUUUCGUUCAGCAUUUGCUGACUGUUUGGCGUUAACGACUUUGGAGGCUUUGGUUCCUCCUCCUUGGGGUUUCGACAAGGAAUUUCAAGCGUUCGGAUGCUCUUGUUUAGAUGAUAUCUUGGUAGAACUUGUUAGUUCACCCUUAUCCUUAAGUCUCAAUUUGAGCUUUGUUCUUGUUCUUAGUUUCCGCUUUUACUCGAUCACUAUGUUGGUCGAUGUUUUGGCUUUUUCGACUCUUUGUAGUCAUGUUGUAUCCUCUCUUAAUGGAGGUUAAACUAUUUCUUUAAUUGAUAUUCUAAGUGCGGUCAAAAAAAAAAAAAAUUGAUAUUCUAAGUUUGUCCAAAAAAAAAAAGAAAAUCAUCACCUAUGUAAUUUGCUAAAAAGCCCCUCCGUUAGUUGAUUAAAGAUGAAAACGCAGCGUUUCUAUAAAAACGAGAAAAAUCAAAAGCUCUUGAAUCCUUUGCUCUUCUUCGCUGUGUAACUUGCCUUCUUCUUCAUCGCGAUAACUCCUGUUUCUUCUUCUUCUUCUUCUUCUUCUUCUUCUCCAUCCGAAGCUUCUAUCAAUCCUAACCGAAAAGUAUGAAAUUUAUCUGUAUUUCUUCUCAUUUUUAUGGAUUUAUAUAUUUUAGGGUUUUGUCCGAUUUUAAGAAUUUGAGUUUUGAAUUUAGGGUUGAGAUUGAUGGUGUUUGUAGAAUCGAACGAACUUAUGGUUUGAUUUAGGGUUGGAUUGAGAUAAUUCGUUUUCUUUGUUGUUCACAACUCCCAUUAAUUCAGUUAAAUUUGUUUUGGUUAUUGAUGACUGGCCAGAGACGCAGGAGGGAGAGACCAAUCGCCGUUUUUUUCUAAACACUAUCCGAAUCUUGAGAAUUGAAGAUUGGGAACACCGAGUGGACACGGUAGAGAGAGAAGGCUGUGAAUUUUCAAAGCUCUCAGCUUGAAACUAUUCUUCUCUGUUCCUGACUUGGGUUUAAGUCUUUGGGUUGUUCUUCUUCCCGACGACGGUGUGGAGAUUAUAAAGCGAUGAAUCUUUCCACGAGGCUCGCUGAGAAACUUCCUGGAAUCUUACCGGCGCCGUCGUCUCCUAUCCUGCGUAAAGGUUGGUUCUUUCAAUCUGUUCUACGUUUGGUUCACGACUUUUUGGAAAUUGCUUGUUUGGUUUGGAUUUAAUUCAAAGGAACAAUCUUUCUGGGGUUCUCUUAGUCUCUUUGAUUUGAAGGAAACUUCCGUGUUCAGUGUCUAUCUACCUCUUAUCUGUUAUUAUCUACCCUAAUUAGGUCAUAAGGUUCAAUAUCGAAUUUAUCAAUUCUUUCUUCUCAUGUGUGUAUUAGGAGUCUCCGAGUUAAGAUUCUUUUCAAUUGCUAACCAUAGUAGAAGAUUGAGAUGGGGACUACAGAAGAAGAUGGUAUGGAGUUUGGAGAGAGCUGAAACCUGUGUAGUUAGCAAUUCAUGUUUAGUUCAUCCUGCAACUGAAGCCUAUGCACAAGAAGCUAUUGAAGCAAUUAAAUCCGAUAAAGUUAUCGCUGUCCCAACCGAUACUCUUUAUGGCUUCGCUUGUGAUGCUUGGUAAUUUUGAAAAGUCUUCACUUUAUUAGCUGAGAUUAGCUUUUACAUUGCCUGGACUAAGUUGUGAUUAUGUAAUGUGACAGUUCUUUAGAAGCGGUUAACCGAAUAUAUGAGAUCAAAGGGCGUAAACUUACAAGCCCUUUAGCCAUAUGCGUUGGUGAUGUAUUCGAUAUCAAGAGAGUUGCUACUACGAAUCACUUACCUCACGGUUUACUUGAUUCUCUCUUGCCCGGUCCAGUCACUCUCGUACUUCAUCGAGGUUUGUAUCAUCUUCUUAAUUUGGUUGCAUUGAUAUGAUCUCUUUAUGUGAGAGUGUUCUUGUAGUGGUUUUAUACAGGUGAAUCAAGCAUUCUUGAAAAGUCCUUGAACCCGGGGAUUGGUACUAUUGGAAUACGGGUUCCUGAUUGUGAAUUCAUUAGAGAAGUAUUGAGAGGUUCGGGCAGUGUGUUAGCUCUUACAAGUGCUAAUCUAAGUGGGGACAGAAGCAGCGUUUGUGUUAAUGAUUUUGAGAAACUUUGGCAGGAUCUACAAUUGUCGAUCUGACUAAAGUCGGAAAGUAUAAGAUAAUUAGACCCGGAAGGUAUACAAAGUGUUGAUCAUUAAUGCAGAUUAAUGGAUUUAAAGUUUGAAUCUUUGUGGGGUUCUUGAGCUAAUUACUUAAUAAGAUGUUGUUUUUGUUGUUAAUUCAGUGCUAAGCAAGCAACAGUGGCAAUCCUUGAGAAGUAUCUGCUGGAAGAAGAAGACUCUUAAGAGAAGAUAUGUGUAGUGUAAUACGAGAAGACUGUUGUGUUUGAGCGCAUGCUAACUCCAAUUUUUGGUGGUACGCUUGUGUAAUAUAGAGGGACUUGGGGGACCGUUUCAUAAUAAUUUACUUGAAGGUUCUUAUUAUUGGUCCAUUUGGAAAAUGAAAUUGUGGAAAAUCUAGUAGUCAGUCUUGUUGUUCUUUUAUCUUUAUCCUCUUCAUUCUUUCUCUAAUUCGACUUUUCAAUUUCAGUAUGAGCUUCUUCUAUCUAGAAGAAACAAGUUAUUUUGAAGAUUUUACUAAAGAUUAAGAACUAUUUAUGGAUCUCUUUUCUCUAUUACUUAUUGGAAAAAGAAUGAAAUAUAUUUAUUUUCUCCAUAUCGUUUUGUAAAAACAUGUCAUUAUCAGAGAACGUGCAAUUGUUUUUAAAAAAGAGUUAAUUCGGGGUUUAAAAAAAAAAAGAAUUAACAGAGGAAGUUUUGGUCAAUGUUUAAAGUUACAGGGUGAAAGUGUAAAGAGAAGAUAAAUAGAGGAUCUCAGUUAUUCAAAUUUGACGUGUCCAAUGGUGCUCUACUUUAUUUCCUCUUGUGCUGAAAAUUAAUGGUGUGUAAAAUGUCAAUUCAGACUUGGUCUUUGUCUGUUUGUAACACUAAAAACGUUUUAUCCAGAGUUUCUUAAACCAACCAGCUUCGUUUGCCUUAUAUGUGAAAAACAUCAAUCCCUCUCAAACUCUUCCUCUCGAACAUUCUCUUGUCUAUUCUUUUUUAUUCCUUGGCUUCAACUGUGGUUUCUCAAUUGCUUGAUCUUGGCUCGCCUUCAGGUACUGCUUUCAUGCCUUUAAGAAAUCUCUAAGGGGUUCUCUCAAAUUUCUAGAUUUAGUUCUUGGAUCAGGUUUAAUAAAACAAACAAAGAUUAUCCCUUUUCUGCUAUUAGUUUCAUCGGGAACGAAGAUAAUUUAGUUGGGCAAUUCUCGGUUUUGGGUAAGAUUCUUGUUGUCCUUUUGUUGAUUUUGGUUCAGAAUCAUAAUUUAGCUUAAAAGAGCUCUGCUUUAUUUGUUAGUAUCCAUGAUCUUCUUUAGUAACCAAUACUCAGCUAAUUUUGUUUUGACUAUGCAGUUACUUUGUUUCACUGAGAAAAAUGGCGACUGGAGUAUUGCCAGCUCCUGUUUCCGGGGUUCGAAACUCGGGUUCGGUAAAAGUAUGAAUCUUGUGAGAAUUUGUGAUUUGACGAGUCUAAGAUCUGCUAGAAGAAGAGUUUCCGUUAUCCGGAAUUCAAACCAAGGCUCCGAUUUAGCCGAGCUUCAACCUGCAUCAGAAGGAAGCCCUCUCUUAUGCAUAAGAGAUUCAUUCAAAAAAUUCAUCUUUUAAGAGUUUUUCUCGAGUAUCAUCAUAUAAAGUUUUAAUAAUGUAAAGGUGGAUCCGCGGAUGCAUCAAAUCUAGUAAUAUAGAAAUGUAAGAAAUUUUUAUAAAUUCUUAACAUAAAAAAUAGCUUAAGCCUAAAAAAUGAUAUUCCAAUAAAAAUGUAAAAGUUUAGAAGAAAGUAAAUGUAAUAAUACUAGGAUCGGACCCGCGGUCCACCGCGGGAGAAUAUUGGUUUACAUACGUUGCGUUUAAUAUUGUGUGUGUUUUUUAGUAGAACGAAUCGUGUAGUAUACUUAUAAGUAUUCAUAAUAACGAAUUGUAGAAAAAAUGUAAAAUUGUUUAUAAAUAUACCCAUCGUAUUAAUUAUGAUUUACAAAAUAGAAUUUUGUGUUUUAAAAUUCUAAAAUUAGACGAUUCAUGGGAAUUAGAGCAGUCAAAAUAGGUCAAAAACCGCUGGUCGAGCCUACAUCAUCUCACUAUGGGGCAGAUUUGGGAAAAUAUAUUAAACCCGCAAAUAAGCGGGCCACAUGGAUUAAUUCGCAGUGGGUCAUAGGUUUAAUCGGUUUUCAUCUGCGGGUUGGCGGAUCAGCCCGCAUAUUUGUAUUUAUCGAUAAAAUUAUAAUUUAUUCAACAUAUGGUAAUUUAAACAAACUUUUAAUAGUAUUUUUAUUUAUUUUUAUUUUAGUAGUAUUUUAAAUUUUGGUUACUUUAAAAUUAUUUAAACAAAAUCCAUGGACAAUCCCGCAAAUCCGUAUACAUUCGCGGGACGGGUUUGUAUUUCAUAUAUGCUACCCGCGGGUCGUGCGGACCGACUAACACAAGUCAAAAUAUUUUUUGUCUAUCGUAAAACGGACUUAACGGGACGAAUCAACUCGCUUUGACAGUUCUAAUGGGAAUAUUAUUUAGUCAUACAACAAAAUGAAGUUUGGACGUAGUAAUAAUAGAAUAUGUAACUUAUUUGUUAGAUGAGAGAUUGAAAGAUGAAGUAUAAUGAUUAAAAAUUAAUUAUUAUUUUUCAUGAUUCACAAAAUUUAAUAAAUACUUAUCAUCUUGUUGCAUAAUUAUAAAAUCAUAUUCAAAAAAUCUUUAUAAAUUGAAAAUUAAACUUCUUUGGUAAGCUAUAGGUAUGAAAAUAUCAUAAUUUCGAUUUAAUCUAAUUAAAUUAAAAUUAGUUACAUGGAUUUCAUAUAUAUUUAAUUUACACGACCAAAAUAAAAAUAUAUAUUUAAUUUAUACGACCAAAAUAAAAAUAUCAAUUUAAUUUAUAAAAGAGAUGGGUUAUUUGUGAUAAAUUUUCUAGAAAUCUGUAGAAGCAAAUAAAAUAUCUUUCAAUUAAUGAUAAUUGGCUAAAAUGAACGAAAUUAAUGACAAAAACGUUGAUUGUUAUGAAAUUAGUCCCAAAAAUAUAUGAACAAAUUUAUUAUUCGUAAUUAAUGUAUAAUAUUGUUCGGAAUAUGCUUUUAUUAUUAGUUACCAUAAGUACAAUAAGAUUUUAUUUGAUUUCCAUAAAUAUUUGAUUUUAUUUCGAUUUUUCAUUUUUAAUUCGAAUUUAUAUUACAAAAAAAUUUCAAAGAUCCGAUUUCAGAAUUUCGGGUCAAUUUUCUGAUUCUAACCCGACCCAUUUUCAUUUGUACUUCUCUUUUAAUAGUAUAGAGAUUUUUGUUUAUUUUCCAAUAAAAUUAAGGAAAUUAUUUGAAAAUGGCAAAAUUGUUUUGGACUUUUUUAGAUAUUUAACCGACAACCAGAUUUUAUUAGUUCAUUUUCCAAUUAAGUUAGAUUAAAUAUUUAUUUCAUAUUUCUCAAUAAUAUUAGAUAAAAAAUAGACAAAUUAAUAACCAUAGAGAGAGUAUCGCGCGUGGAUCUUACUCGCGGCGAUUUCUCUCUCAAGCUCAUCUUCUUCUUCUGAUCACAACCUCGUGCACCGACGGCGGGUUCUCCGUCAAUUCCGGUGACGAUGAGGACCCUUCGGCUCAUGGUUCUUCAUCCGUGACCUAUUACAUCUUCUCAGCAAAGCCAUCAGAUCAAAAUCAAGGGGGCAGUGGAGGGGAGAAGAAUCUGCACGACAUCAAUGGUAUGAGCUCUACCGGCGGUGUAGCGAUGUAGAGUGGAAGAGGGAGAUUUCACGGUGAGGAGCGAGAGAGGAAAGUGGUUAGAUCUGGAGACUGGAGAUUCUGGAAGUUUCUCGGGAUCGGUUUCGAUGGGGGAGGUAGUCUCCGAUCCGGCGGAGCCAAACCACCGUCGAAGGUCUCCUUGUCUACUCCCUACUGCUUUUCUUACUCAUGACUGACCAAGAAAUCUCUUCGAUAUAGAAAAACUCGGUUCUCUUCCUCCUUCUCAAAACAGUUCUACGGUGGCGGGUUGGCAACGGAUCUUGGAUCACCAUCUCCGUUCGGCUAGCGUCGCCCUGGCUCACCGGAGGUCCUGUUCCGGCGAGAAUCUGCAGUCUGUGGGCGACGGCUACAACUUGUUUUAAGUUUGUAGAUUAGGGUUUCACUGGCCGGUUUAGUUCGGUUUGUGAACCCGGCCGGUUUUGUUUUCCAAAUGGUUGAGUUGGUUUUGAUGUAAAUGGGUUGGGCCUUAGGGAUUUAGAAUGGGCCUAAAUCCGGAAAUAGCCCUCUUGGGCCUAAAUUUAUAAAAUUGCAUACCCUUAAAAAAAAAAAAAAAAAAAAAACAAAUUAGAUAUGACAUGGAAAAUGAUCAACGAUAUACACUUUUUUUGAUCAAGUAGCAACAACAUUAUAUGUAACAUCUCUCGCGUUUAUUUCUCGAUGCCUUGUUGCAGAUACUGUAUCAAGUCGUACCCAUACGUGGUCCAUUUGUUGUAGGCAUCGGUACAGACAUGGAUCAUGAAGUGUGCGGCUUCACGCUCACUCAUCUCGGGAUGAAAUCUCUUGCGAAGUUUCUCAAUUGGAUCUCCUCUGCUGAAGCAAGGCAAUCCACUUUCCACCAUCAUUUCCACUGUACUGAUGAUCCCCUCCAUGUACCGGCGAGCAGCCAAGUAACCCUUCACGCACAAGCUUUACGAGAGAGAGAAAGAGAGCAUAGAACAGUCUUAAGAAUCCCAGAUGGUUUCACUUAAAAGGUCAAAAGUAAAUAAAGUGUUGAGAAAGUUUACCUCACAAACUGAUGCCAAGAUUCGCUCUUCAUAUUCCCUGAUGGAUCAAGCAACUGUGUCAUUUCGUGGCUCAGUUUGAAAUGUGCGCUCUCAAAACGCAUGUUUCCACCAGGGGAGGUUUCAAAAAUGAAACCAAAAUCAAUGUGAACAAGCCUUCCCAUGCUGCAUUCGCAAAAUAUGUAAUUGUUGUUUAAUGAAUUUUCCCACAUAGAUUCAGAAGAGAGGGUGUUUCAAGCGUGGAGGUUAUCAUACUUGUCGUAGAGGAGAUUGCCGUUGUGUCUGUCUUUGGACUGGAGUAAAAGACUCGCCACCGCGUAACCAGCACUGCUGGUGAGGAAGUUACCCCUUGCCGUUUCAAAGGAGGGUGAGCCAACGGGUCCAAACUCCUCUUGAAAGAUCUCAUACAAGCCACCAUCGGUUGAUUCACCCAUUUGACUUCUGCUUCGUGUAUUUGGCACUACCUGUUGUAAAAAGGAGAAAAGACAAAUAAUAAAACUCACAACUCACAUUUGGAUUGAGAAAUGCGAAUGAGUUAAGAACAUACCUCGAUUAUCCCCCUCCCUGCCCCAGUUGGAAGUACUCCAUAAGGAAAAAGAUAAAGAUUAAGACCAACCGCUUGAAAUAUGUCUCUAAGAAGAGAUAUCACUUGAAGGGCAAGAACAUCUUGACGGCAAUCAUCUCCAACCUGAAUACAAGAGAGAAUUGGAUCACAUUAAACACCAAACGGUGCAGCAUAGAAUCUUCAGCUAACAUUGUGAAGGUGAGUGCGAUAAGUAUUCACCAUGAACACAUGAUUCUUCAGCUAACACUGGCAUAGAAAAUAAGUCCAGAAGAAAAGAUAGAAUAAAUGGGAGAGGUAACAAGACAAUAUAAGAUUGGGACAUGUAUAAGGUAAGUGCCUGCAAAGCACUGGCUACCUUUGCUCACUUAUGUUUGUCUAUAUCUACUUACAGAAAAGGAAGCAAAAUAUAUAUAUGUAUUGAUUUCUUUUCUUGUAUUGGUAACCAACAUGUAAACAUCACAGGCUAGCAGCUUUCAGAUCGGCCCAAAAACUUAGAAAAUGUAUAUAUAUAUAUGCAUAAGCUAACCUUGAAAAUACAAGCCUGUGGUUUCGCAUCAUUCUGGUUACCAUCACGAUCAACAACGUUAAAGGUUAUCAUGAUAGGGACUUUGGCAGCUGAUUGAAGGGUUAUGCCACUGUCUAUCUGGAUACCCUUAACAAGCUUGUUAGGAGCCGUAGGCAAAUAAAGGUCUUCUCCUUGCAUUUUGAUUUUCUCCAACUCCCUGCCACAUAAUAUAUAUAUAUUAUAGCUUAUCUUGCAUGUCAACACGCCGAUACCGUAAUCUCCAAGUUAAAUUUAUAUACUAGAAUACUACCUCCUGAUACCAGCUCUUCGUUCUUCCUUUGGAAGAGGAAACAAUGCCCCAGAAAUAGAUGUAACCUUUUCAAAGAAGUCAAACUCUCUUUUGAACAUGUCCAAGGCCUUUGGACUAAAACCAUCAAUGAUAUGCUGUCGAACCUCUGACAAGAUUGCUUGGAAUGAUGUAUUCUAUAAUAUAAUAGACAACCCGAUGAGCACAAAGUGUUACAACCAACAACACAAAGCUGCAGAUAUUUUGUCUUAUCACUGCUAUCCCCAAAAUGUUUUUUUAAAGAACAAGCCCAUGCAAAAGCAGAACUAUAGACCAUCAUGAAACCAAUUUGAAUAUAUUGGGAUACUUUGCAUGUUCUGAACGAUUCAAAUCUCAACAAUUACAUAUAUUUACUAUUUUAGGCAAACAAUCAGUAAUACAGUAAAGAUUCCACACUAAAGUUGACAGUUGACACCAAUGCUAUAAGUAGGAAGGGGUAAUAGUGGACAAACCUUAUCGAAAGCACCAUCUUUCACAGUUUCCUGAACAGACUCACCCUGGCAUUAUAUUAAGAGAGUUUAGGAAUUUAAGAAAAACUGAACGGUUUCAAGAAAAUUGAUGUCUUUACAAACACCACGAAAUUAUACUCACCUGCAAAUGCCACGUGAGGAUAUGAGCAAAUAUGUCACUUCUUUGGGUAGCUCUAAGAAGAUACCCUUCAACCAGCCUCUGUUGGCAAAAACGUUAUAAAAGUGAGUCAACCUUUUCAAAGCCAUAUAACCAGUGAGAGGAAAGAACUAGUCAAGUACCAUAUCACACAACAUGAAAACAUCAAGCCCCUAGAGAUAUGAAAAUUUUCGCACCUUUUAAAAAAUCAAUUAGAAAAAUUGUACAAUUGAUAUCCUAAAGAAGAAGACCAGACUUGGUUUCUGGAAAAGGUGUGGCUGAUAGAUCGAACACAGAUAAGAAAAAUAUAUGGAAAUAAUAAUUAAAGAGUGAUAUGGAGAUUUUCACUUAACGACCGACUUACCCCUUCAUCAUAGCGCAGAGACUGCACUAACUGUGGCAUGAAGAAAGUGACUCGCUCAGGGGGGUAGGACUCUAAAACUCGCAGGACAUAUGCCAUGACACGAGGAUGUCCCUUAUAAGUAGGAGUGAGGAACUCAAGAGCCUGUGUAAUUGAACAAGCAGCCCAAUGAGGCAGCUGUCGCAACAGCACUGAGUUCUCUUCAACGCUUUUAGGUGUGACAAAAUAUGGCAACGCCUCAGGAAUUGUACGAAGAUCUACUAUAUGAGCCUACAAAAAAGUAAUGCCGGCCGGUGAGAAAUUGAAUCUAACAUCUGUCAAACAAUACAAAAAAAUUUUCAUAAACCAAUCUAAUUGUCAACAAAUGUUUUAGGUAACUUUGAUAAAUUAGUCAAAUAAAAGUAGCAUAAAAGAUAUUUGGUUUUGGUUUACAUCAUCCUUUACUGGUUUUGUGGAUGUCCACCUCUAACCGCAAACAAAUUAAAGUUCAAGUACCGAAUGAAAUGACCUCUGUAAAUCCGUACCUGAACUAGCUGAGUGACUUGGGAUUUCACAGCAAUAUUUGCUGGAAAUCUUGAAGCUAAUGAUAGAGCAAUCCUUGGAUCCACUGAAAAGGCAGUUUUAGCAUGUUCAGUCCAUUUCCCAGAGCUUAUUUUUAGCCGUGAAUAUGGACUGUUCCUGUACGUAUAUUGCAAGUUAGAAGAGUGAAUAUCAACAGUGUAGGUAAAAGAAAAAACCUAAUUAAAUGGAAACACCAUAAAGAGGAUCUGUUACUUUGAACUAAUAGGUUGUGCCCAAACAUCAAGCCUAUCAGAUUCAUGUUGGCAAAGAAUCAGAAGCAGUUGCUUCCUCUUCUCCUUUCCCACUGCAUAGCUGUCCAUUUUACCCCAGACAGGAUGAUGAUGAUGAUGAUGAUCCAUCUGCAAAUCCAUCCCAAAUAAAUAUCGUAGUUUGCAUUCAAAUACUGCGUAUACCAGCAUGCAUGAAAGUAGAAAAAUAAUUAAAGAAGCCAAUUACCAUACCAAUUCAGUUAAUUGCCCGUUUUCAUGAGCUCUUCCUUUGGAAUCAAAUUGGCUAAAAUCUGAUCGCUCGUUUAACAAAAACUGAGCAAAAAUUGAAACAGAUUGAGCCUCACUCUGACAAAAAUUCGGAAUGCCUACAUCGUACCACUCUGGCUGACGAGAAAACCAGCCUAAAGAAGUCCUGGAAUAAGUGGAAAAUACAAAAUUCUUAUCAACGCACGCAUACUUAAAUAAAACGAUAAUGAUAAAGAUCUAAGAAACUCUUAAUUUAAACUCCACCUGUGCUGUGAGAUGACUACCAAACAGUACAAUAUUAUGUUUAGCCAACCAAAUCUACAAUGUAACCAAAAACAGGUUGAAUAACAAAAAGUCACCUGUAGAUUCGAUCUUCCAACAGUUCAAGUCCACGUCUAAAUUUAUGCAUACUGCCUUUUCUUUGGCAUGAGCAGAACUUCAGUCCAAGGAGCAUCAAGGAAAAAAAAGUACCAGCUGCUGCCGGGUGGUGGGUAAAGCACCAGUCAAGAUUUGUACUCCGUUGAAACAACCGACCAAACAGCAAGAGUUGCUCCACGCUAUUAUGUCGAACAACCUAAAGAAACAUGGAAGGGACAAGAAACACAAUCACUCAGUAGGCAAUUUGUAAUACCUUUACAAUAACAACAAUAAUAUCAGUUCAACUAAGAUCACAAUAUAUAACUCAGCUACUCGUAACACUACUUUCGUUCAUUUUAUCUUAUUCCAAGACGAAAUAAGAUUAACCUCCUACACAAAAUUGCUAUGCAUAAUUGUAUAUAGAAUAAAGGCUAACCUCAAAGCGAUCUAUCAAAAAUCCAAGCCAUAGUCUGUGAGCGACUAUUUGAUCAACAGGGUCACUAUCAGGUGGACCUUCUGGUUCUCCAGGGGAAAUCUGGGGCCUUAAUUUUGCAGCUGGGCCAUAGUAUCGCACAUCAGAUGCAAACAGUCCUCGUUUUGAGUCAAUUGUCCAUGUCCAUGCAUCGACAAGUUCGGAAAGGACAAUAGAUCCCAGUUGUGGAGCUGCGGAAACCAACCAGGUCCAAAUGAAUACUCCAGUUUCCAUAGCAUCUGAAGUUAAUAUAUAAGCUGGGCACCAACAAAGGAGACGCAGUAAACGAGAAAAGCCGGCCUUGAUAUCUGUUUUGGGCUCACCAGCCUGCUGCAUCAAAAAAAAAUUGUAACGUUAUAAGAUACUAAUUAGCUGGAAGAUAUGGCAAAUACAUGUGUUUUUGCUUACCAGAUUUGACAAAAGUAAUGAAGUUGCAUGAGAACAAGUUUCUCGAAAUUGCAAUUUGUCCACCUCUCCUCCUUUCUCAGCAGUAUUAACAAAUUGUUGAAGGCGCCGAACUGAAUUAGAAAUCAACGUGUCAUUGCCAAAACUGUUAUCCAAUCUUACCAAGCCAGCAAUGUGUCCGAUAUGGUUGCACUUUAACAUUGCAUUAACUACACUAGUACCAAGUAUGUCCAAGUUAAAGGCUUCAGAAGCUUUUAAUUUUGCCCCAGACGCUGAAACUGCUGCAGCCAUCACAGCUGGAAUAUUUGCUGUUUUUAUUCCAGACCAAAUUUCAGUUCCAACCUUUAUCUCAGUUAGAAGAGAAACCACAUCAGUUGUAGUCUGUGUUCGCUGCAGUGUGUUUGCCUUACACAGUUUAUCCUGAGAUGCAUAAAGGAAACUCAUUAAUUGCAAGCAACAAACACUCUGGUUAUUUAAGAAAAUAAAUCAAAAAUUUUAAGCACAAUGUACAAACAUGAAUAAAAAAGAGCAUUCAAAAACAUCUUUGAGUCACCAGAGAAUGAAUUCAGAAACAUUGAACAAUCACACUAGUGGUUUAGAGAGAGAAACAGGUAAAAGGAGACGUCACAUCUUUAUGCAUUUCAAGAAAACAGAGGAGUCCAAACUUUAAAAACAGAUUUGGAGACAGACCAAGGAAGUAAUAAAUGCACUUCGAGACAUAAAUUAUUUCACUGCAACAUGUUUCUCGCUCGUAUCAAAGUGUUAGUAAUUAUAUCAACUGGCGUAAAGAAGGAAACCUGAAGCAAACCCUGACUAGUGCAUGGAGCAUAUGAAAGUGAUAUUAUGAUCCAUUCUCGAACAACUUUCUGGUAUAAAGAUCUAACGGCAGCAGUCCAAGCAGGAUCGUUCGCAGCCACUGAAGGUGUAUUGUGGGGAACAGAGAAUAGCAAACUAUCCAGACAAGAGGAGCUCCAGAGGACCUGCAUUUCUCAUUGUUAAAGGCUAGUCCAAGUUGCAUAAAUUAAAUUCCAAAAGGACAAUUGAUAAAGGAAAAGUUCCUACCUGGGGAAACUUGUCCCUGAUCUGAAUCAACAGGUUCACUGAGAUAUGUCGUAUGUGUUCAUCUCUCUGUGACAUAUUCUUUAUGAGGAAGCAUGCAUGUGCGUACAUAGUCGAUUCCUUAAUACUAGCAUCUUUCCCAGUGAGAGAUAUCCGAUCUUCCUAAAACCAGAUGAAAACGUCCAUAACAUUCAUCUACGGCUAGACUAGAAUGCUUACAGAAGCAGAGGAAAAAGAAACAGAAAACAAAAGCUGAUACCGGUGACUAUUGACAUAACGACAAAAAUGCUCAUAUAGGCUUGACUUGCCACCUAAUCAAUAUAACCAGGAAAUUACGUACAUACCAGCCAUGACACUGCUGCUUCAAAGGCUCUAUGCACAAUUGCUGUCAAACACUGGGAAACAGCAGGAGAGAGAUUUGGAGGUUUGAGGUAUUCAAAGACGCAACUGAAGGCACUUCGAGAGUCAGACACACUUAAGCCUCCAUUAAGGAUACCCCCAUUGCUAGUAAAACGUAUGAUCUCCAAAAGGGCUACUGCAAGUAGAUAGGUAGCGUUCACCCCUGAAAGAAGAAAGAGAAAUGUUUCAGUCAUUAGACUAAAACGUUGGAUAUAAACAACGUUACUAUAUAUCUAAAGCUAGCAAAAUUCCACGUAGGACAUCAAUGAAAUUGCCAUAUUUCUAGAAAUCGAAUUCAGACAAAUUACAUAUGCUUCACCUGAGAUAGUGUUCAUUGUUGAAACGUCAACUUGACCACCCAAGGCAAUUGAAAGAGCAUUUCUUUGGGUUGAAGCUACUAUCUUAUUGCCAGUUCCUCGGGAACUAUCAGAAUUAUGAAGCGCAUUGAGCUCUAGUUCGUCUUCAAGCCAUUUUACAGAACUGACGACCUACAAAGAGCACAUACACAAUCAGAAAAAGUUUAUCUUGGAAGAUGUAAACCUCAGUAUAUAGAAUGGUUAUGUGGAGUCAGUAAAUUAAUACUGUGGCUAGACUAACUUACAAGGGGAGGAGUGCCUUGAGAAAUCCUCUGAACAGCAAGAGACCACUGAGUGUUCCACAUGUAAGGCCCUCCUACAGGUCGAGGUUUUAGAAUAGGAGGUGCUAAGCCAAAAAGGGCUAUAUAGAACCAUAGAUUGCGAAACAGUUUCAAAAGUGACGGUUCCACAUUUGAAGUAGGAUCUACAUCCGAACAUAUUUCCGCAACAGCAGGAAGAAGAGGACCUAAAAGGUCUGCACCGUUCCUACAAGAAAAUGAAGCAUGUCACUAAUAUAUAAUAAAAUUGUUGUAAAAAUUAAUCCCUCGAUUCUAUUUAUCUUACUGUUGAGCCAAGAAUACAAUUAAUUACUACUGUCAAUAAUCAAUCCCUCAAAUGUAUUACUGUUGAGUCAAUAAUACAAUUAUCGUCAAUAAUCAAUCCAUAGGAAAAUUAGUUUUAUACAAGCUAGGAUCAAAUAAAAAGAAAAUUACCCUUUACUCCUGGACUCAGAAGUCAGGCCUACAUCUGAACAUAAGGAAAGCAGACGAUGGAGAUAGUCUGCACGCAGUUUUGUGUUCAUAAGACCACUAGCAAUUGUAAGAAAGCCUGCAGCAAGAGUCUUGCAAUGGCAAUUGGAUAUGUGAGCAUUAGUGUAAUAGGAAAAAAAAACUCAGAAAAUGAACAAUGUAUCAGACUAAAGUAUACCUCUACGUACUCAGUUCGAGAUUUUGGUGCUGAUGUUUUCCUUUCCACAGAUCCCCCUGUCGAUAUUUGGCUAUAGUAACCUCUAAUCAUCAGAGCUACUGUCUGACGGUAGGACGUCUCAACCCCUAAUGUUGCUAUCCGAGAUACAGCAUCAAGAAGCUGCAUAUAAGUGCCAAUAGAUGGAUAAGUAAAUAACGGGAAAGGGCAUAUACGGUGGAAAUUUGUGCCAUUGCCAAAGCUUGAGAAAGUUAUCACUUGGAAAAUGGAACCGUACUUGGAGUUGCAAAGAGAGGGGAGUUGAAGCAUCACCCUCUUCUAGGCUUUCAAUUAAAAAUGGGAAAAUCAUGUCCGCUACUUCUGACUUUUUAACAGCAACGCAAAUAUCAGCAAGCAGCUGUACAGGAGGAACUUCCUUCUCUCUACCAACCUGAAGACCAAAGAAAAUUAGAACUAUAUAUAAUGCAACAAAAGAAAGAUGAAUGAGUCAGCUGAGGGAAAGUUUUAGAGUAACCUGGUCUUCGUAGUCAUUCUUUUCACGAAUAAUUGAAGCUAACCCCAGGAUGAAGGUGUCCAGUAAAGCUCGAUCCUUGUCCCAAACAGAUUCAAUAAUCUCACAACUCAAUUUACAUACACUCUCAUAAAUAAUCCCCUGAUUUCUCACCGACUGUUCCAAAAGAAAGAAUCAUCAAUCAGUCACUUAAACUGUACAAGAAGAUACAUCCGGACUACAGAGGAUAUGUGACAUGAUGUGUUCAGUUAUACUUCUAUAGAGCUCCAGACGCAAACCAUCAAUAGAUUAAAACAUGCAUCUUGCUUUCGUAUGAGUUAAAGCAAAACAAAAAAUUACCUGUACACAGACGACAGCCAGUACCAUUGGUUUAAGUCGGAAGAGAAACAAACGAAGUGGCUGCCCUCCUGUUGCCACUGCAAGCUUGGCAAUCCCAGAAAGCAGAGAACCGAACAGUUCUUCACAUGUCUUCAUCUUCCGCCAAACGGAUUUCAAACAGGCAUCAGCAGCAUCUAAUAGCAAUGUAAGAGCCUCCAAGACAAUUUUUUUCCUUCCAUCUGUUUCAAGGGACAAGAGGCUCUCGAUUUCCAUUUUAGCUGCGGCCUGAUAAACAUACAUUUUGGCAUUGACUAUACUUUUCAGAACUGGUUCUUGUUUGAGAAACGCAGGCAUGGACUGGAGGUGCUUCUUAGCAAUAGAUCUGACGUGAAGGUGGAACUUGGAAUCGACAUUCACUUUACCCAAAAUAUGAGUUAUCAGUUUGAAAGCAAUCUCUUGCUGCUCCAAACUCUCGAUGGUGUCGUGCUCCAAAUAAGCCACUUCUUUCUGUGUAAAUUGAUGGAGCAGAAUCGCAGUCGUCAAUCUGUCACCGUCAGACGGCUGAAUGGACGGAAAAUUCUGAGAAAUAGCGACCAGAAAAGCCCUACAGAUUUCCGGAUCCAAGUCGCUGUCACCGGAGCUCAUGAUCUCAUCCCAUCUAAGCUCUGAAACUUUGGUACCGAACUGCCGUGACAGACACGAAACGUAACCUAGGAAACUGCAAUAGAAGGCGGAAAUCGACUUUAGCGUGAACGAGUAGGGCCAGAACGAACGGUGGAAGGACUUGUCUAAAGUCUGGAAGAAAUCGAGGACGACGGAUUUUCCAUGGUUUUCGGCUGUGUCCACGUUACUGGAGAUAAUCCGAGCGACGGACAAGACGGCGUUGAGUUGACUCCGAGAAACUCUCGCCGUUUUAGGUUGCGGACACUCUCGGCAAAUCCAAAUAAGAUUCUCCCAUAAUUUGUUCGGAUUCUCUACUAUCACGUCGCAAAGCUCCGUCCAUCCCUCCAUCUCCGACCAGUAACAUACACAGAAGCUCUCUAGUCAAGACAAGACAGAACAAACAAAUACAAGGGAGCGGGAAAUCAGAAGCUAUGAGGGAGACGGAAUUUCAACUAAAUAAAUACGUAAUCUCAUCAUCGCUUCCUUUUCCUAUUUUAAUUUAGACUCUGACUACGUUGUUAAUCCUUAUAAAUUAGAAGAAAACUUGUAAUUUAAAAUAAAUAAAUAAACGUGUAUUUACCGACCCCAAAAAAGAUAAUAACUUAAGAAAAUUAUUUUAAUUAUAUUUGAUUAUCGUAAGAAAAUCAGUGAAGGAAAUUAAUAGAAAACAGUAAAUACUUGCUUUUUUGGUUCAAAGAUACACUUUCUUAUUUAUUUGCUUGAAAACAGAUUAACCUAGAAUAAGUAAACUCUUAAUGUUAUUUUAUUUUGACUCACUCUAUCAAACUCUAACUACUAAUUAUCUAAUGCUCGCGGGAUAAGAAGUUGAAGAAUGAAAAUAAGUACCAUCUAAUUCGAAUUAUGAUUUAAAUAAUAAAUUUAAUAUCAUUUUAAAAUAUAUGAUGAAGUUGAGAUUUCGGCUGUGUUGUUUGUUUACAUAGGAGAUGACUAUGGUGCGUAAAGAUAACAUUAAGUUCCAAGAUGCAAUGAAACUCCAUAGGUGUUCCAGUCUUCAAUAAUGGAGUGCUUCAGCCUUCCGUUUCUGCUACUGGAAUAUAUCUGGCUUCUAUUUGAAGUCUGCAAUUAUAUUAUUAUUAAAGAUCAAUCAGAACUAAAAACAAAGUAACUAAUUAAAGUACUGGUAUUAUACAAUAUCAUAUUUGGCUCUGUAACAAUGGAUUUAGGUAAUGAUGAGCUAGCUAACCUGUCUAUCAAGGGAAGGAAUUUAUAGAAGAAUCGUCUUCAAUGGCUUGCGUAGCUAUUAACAUCUGUGAAAUCACAAAGACACCUAAUUCAUGUUCCAGAUCUAAACAGAUGGCUCAGAGACAUAACAUGUAAAUAUUUAAGAUUUCAAGUAGGAAAUGUUGAAUGGAUCAUGAUUAAAGAUGGAGAGAAAAGAUAGAAAUGUAUUGAUUAAGAAGAAGAAGAUACAUGAGUAGGCGGCUGUGUGGCUUUAUAUAGAACAGAUUCUAGGUAUGAUGGGUUACGCACAUUACAAGCAUUACUACGUGGGUUACGCAUAUUACAAGCAUUACGUCCUCAUUCUCCUUUUACAAAGCGCACACUUUAGCCAGCCUUGAUACAGCUCACUAACGGUCUUAGAACUCAAGUAACUGUAUUUAACAUAUAACUAUUAAUUAGUUCAUGUUAAAUACCUUCUUGAUUAACACUCCCCCUCAAGUUUAUACUACAAUGCUAAUUGUGUAUAAACUUGGCACUUGCAAGAAUAACCUCAUUAAAAACCUAAGCUUGGAAAACCACGUGGGACAAAACCAAGCUUAGGGAAAAAGAGUAUUAUCCCUACAAGUUGGAGAGUCUUUCUCAAGGAUGUGUGAGGUCUACAAGACCAAGUUUACCAUGGAUAAAUUGGCAAACUUGGUUACUUGCUGCCUUGGUGAAGAUAUCGGCCAAUUGGUCCGAGCUUUUAGUGUAACAAGGGAGAAUGGUACCAUCUUCUACCUUCUCUCUUGUCUUGUGGCAGUCGGUCUCUAUAUGCUUCGUUCUCUCGUGAAACACUGAGUUUGUAGCAAUAUGGAUCGCCGCUUGAUUGUCACAAUGAAAGGUGAUUGGAGUCUUCUGCUCGAUCCCAAAGUCCUUCAGCAAAGCCUUUAGCCAUGUUAACUCGUUUGUGAGUUUCUUCAUAGCCCUAUACUCUGCUUCAGCACUCGAACAAGAGACCACUUUCUGCUUCUUCGACUUCCAAGUCACAAGAUUCCCACCAAUGAAUGUACAAAAGCCAGUUGUUGAUUGUCUUGUGUUGCGAUCGCCAUUGUAAUCUGCAUCACAAUAUCCAACAAUUUCUGUGCUAGAGUUUCUUCCCAUCCAUAUGCCUUUGCCAGGACUUCCUUUGAUGUAUCUCAGAAUUCUCUCCACCAAGCUCCAAUGAUAAACAGUGGGCUCUUUCAUGUGUUGAGCUACCUGAUUCACAGCAAAAGACAAGUCCGGUCGAGUAUAUGUCAAGUAUAUAAGCUUACCAAUGAGUCUUCGGUAUUGUUCUGGGCAAUGGUAAGGAGUGUCAUCUUUCUCCCCCUUUCGAUUGACCUUGUAACCUUGCUCCAAUGGUGUAUCAACUGGUUUAGCUCCAAGCUUCCCUGUAAGUUUUAGAAGAUCAAGAGCAUAUUUCCUUUGUGAGAGAAACAGUCCCUCCUUGGAUCUACACACCUCGAUCCCUAAGAAAUACUUCAACACACCCAAAUCUUUAAUAUCAAAAGCCAAGUGUAAAGAAGACUUAAUAGCUUGGAUACCUUCUUUGUUACUGCCCGAGAUAAUCAAGUCAUCAACAUAGAUCAACACUACUACGAUUCCUUGAUUAUCUUGUUUAGUAAACAAAGUGUGAUCCGAAUGUGACCUUUUGAAGCCUUCUCUAAGCAAGGUUGAACUCAACUUGUGGUACCAAGCUCUUGGGGAUUGUUUGAGGCCAUAUAUAGCUUUUCGAAGUCUUAAAACCUUUCCCGUAGCCACUAUAUCUUCUAAACCCGGAGGAGGUGUCAUAUAAACUUCUUCUUUCAACUCCCCCUGAAGGAAAGCAUUCUUGACGUCCAUUUGCCACAAUUCCCAAUCCAAGUUCACAGCCAAAGAUAGAACAACUUUUACGGUGUGUUGCUUAGCUACCGGAGCAAAAGUUUCCCUAUAAUCCUCUCCAUAAGUUUGAGUGAAUCCUCUUGCAACCAAUCUAGCCUUGUGUCUUUCAAUUUCACCAUUACUCUUAUACUUUAUGGUGAAAACCCACUUUGAGCUAACACAUCUCUUCCCUUGUGGAAGUUCUUCUUCAUCCCAUGUAUGAUUCCGAAUCAUAGCUUGUACUUCAUCAUCCACAGCAUUAGUCCAUUCCUUUCUUUCCUUGGCUUCCUCAUAGCUUUGUGGGAUGAAUUCCACAUCUAACUUACUAAGAAAAGCUUUAUGUUCCUCGGGAAGAAGGUCAAUCGAACAUGUCGCUUGAAUGGGGUGAGCAACAGCUUGACAAUUGAAGAGAACCUUAGGCUUCUUUGCCCUUUUACUUCGUCUUGGGUUUUGUAACGUGUAGACCGGUUCAUUUGUUGUUUGAGGAAUUGAGUUAGUCUCUUCUUCGCUUGAUGAUCUAAUGACUUCAUCUUCACUUAGUGGACCGAUCUCUUCUUCACUAGAUUCUUCCUCUACAACAUUCUCAUGGUUACCAUGCGACGACUCUAUUGGUGUUUCAACUUCACUUUCUUGAGUCCCACUUGUAACUUCGCCUGGUAUCUCUUCCGUAGUGUCUUGAGGUAUGUUAACAUUACCCAAAUGCUCAAGAAUGUGUUUAAGACUCUUUGCUCUAUCCGAAGUUGAGUUAGGUAGGUCCUUUACACUAUCCCAAUUCUUUUCUCCGAAAUAGGCCUUGUCUUCCAUGAAUUUCACAUCUCUAGAUACAUAGUAUCUAUUGUUGGUUGGAUCAAAGCAUUUGUAGCCUCUUUGAGUAGUGGAGUAUCCGAUGAACACGCACUUGGUACUCUUGGGCUCUAGCUUAUUCCUUAAGCCACCUGGAAUGAAUACAAAACAAACACAACCAAACACUCUCAAGUGCUCAAUGUUAGGGUUUUGGUUAUUCAAUACUUGAAAAGGUGAUUGAUCAUUAAGAACUCUAGUUGGAAUUCUAUUAAUAAGAUAACAAGCGGUCAUAACCGCAUCACCCCAAAACCUCUUAGGCAUAUGCUUAUGAAAUAGCAUUGCUCGUGAUACCUCCAUGAGGUGUCUAUUCUUCCUUUCCGCAACACCAUUUUGUUGAGGGUUGUAUGGGCAGCUUGUUUGGUGUAAGAUCCCACACUUUUCCAAAUGGGCUUUGAGCUUGGUGCUCGUAUAUUCACCUCCAUUAUCUGUUCUCAGAAUUUUGAUCUUUGCAUCAAAGUGAUUAGUCACAUAGUUUUGAAAGUUUAGAAAUGCAUCAUAAACUCUGUCCUUAGAUGGAAGCAAAGUUACCCAAGUAUACUUAGAUUUCUCAUCUAUGAAUGUCACAAAGUAUUUAUGAUUAUCUCUAGAUGCACAAGGUGAGGUCCAAACAUCCGAAUGCACAAGAUCAAAACACUUCUCAUAAAUAGCAUUAGACUUAGGGAAAACCGUUUUGCAAUGUUUACCUAAGAUGCAUGCUUCACAAUGAGAACAAUCAUAAGAUAAACCGGGUAAUAACAAGUUCAAAGCCCUAGAGUGUGGAUGGCCAAGUCUAUCAUGCCACAAUACAACUGAAGUCUUAACAUUAUUUGCGGAAAUAGAAGAGUUUAAAGAAGUGUCUUCAAGAACAUAGAGAUCAUCCUUGGUGCCUCCUUGUCCAAACACAGUACCGCUCUCAAUAUCCUGCAACUUAACAUCAUUAGGACUAAAGAUAGCAAGACAAUUUAAGUCCUUAGUUGUUUUCUUGACCAAGAGCAAGUUAGAAGUGAACUUAGGCAUAUAGAAAGCACUAGACUUCUUGUUAAACAAGUUUAUGCAACCUAUUCCUUCUAUUGGAACAUUAUGACCAUUUGCAACCUUAACAUUACCUAGUGCCGGUUUAACAUUCUCUAAUAACCUAGGAUUACUUAUCAUAUGAUGAGAAGCUCCGGAGUCUAACACUAAUGAAUUUGAAUCAUGAGAGUUAGAGGUAAAGAGAGAGAUACCGCCGGGAUGCAAUUUGGAUGCUAUGGAUUGAAGAAGAGCUUCAAGAUCGGCCUUGUUCAUGGUGAUGGUUUCUUGAGCUUGAGAGGUAGAAGUGGUACAUCCCUUGUCUUAAGCAGUAGCUCGCAUUGCUUUCUCUUGAUGUCCAUAUUGCACAAUGGCCCUCUCUUCAUUCUCAAGUAGUCCUCUAUCACUUGUGUUUGCUACAUUAGCUCUCGGCUUGGAGUUCUUGAACUUUUCCGGCUUCAAGUGAGGGUGUAGGAUCCAACACUUGUCUUUGAGGUGACCCUUCUUCUUGCAAUGAUCACAAAACCAAGUCUUUUUAUCAUCUUGUUUCACCAUCCUGACCUUGUUUGCCGUUGGAAGACUCUCUCCUUUGCUACCAAAUAGACCUUGCGAACCAUACUCCCUUUGUAUCUUUGCACACACUUGUUCUAAGGUAGGGAUCUUGUCAUCUCUCAAGAUGUGUUGGAUCACAUCCGUGUAGCUUGAAUUAAGAGUCAACAUCAACCCAAAGACAAGAUCUUGUUCCCUACGCUCCUUAAGUGUCUUAGCAUCCGUAGUGAAUGGCCUUAGCAUCUCUAAUUCAGCAACAAGCGAUCUAUACUUCCCAAAGUGAGCAUUAAAGUCGCUAUCUUCUUGACUUAGUUCCCCUAGAGCCUUCUUAAUCUCAUAGAUCCGAGUCAAAUUUGAUUCAUUACCGAACACAUUCGCGAGAGUAUCCCAAAGCUCCUUGGAUGUCUCACAAUACGAAUACCCUUCUAAGAUAAAAGUUUCAAGGGAGCAAUGCAAAGCACUAAGGACAUUCAAGUCAUCUUGCUUCCAUGUGUCUUUGUCAAUGCUUUCAUCCAACUUCUUCAAGUCUUCAAAGGUUGAUUCAAUGUGCUUUAUGAGCCUCCUACUGCCGAGCACAUUAGUAGUUGUCCUCUUCCACAAGAGGUAGUUGUUCCCGUUUAGAAUCACGGAGAACUUCAACUUCAAAUCCUUGUAAGUAUCACUCAUUGUACAAACCAAUUUAAUAACCAGUCCAACGUAACCAACGUAAUCCCACAACGGGACUUCAAACAAAAAUCUCCACCGUUCAAAUCCUAGAUAAACGGGUCAGGAACAACACUGCAAAAUUUCAGCUCAAACCGAGAAGAACUCACCGUUAGAUCUUCCAAAGACUCACGACAACUGCUGCAGAAAAAUCUGGAAAUUUCAGAUACGACCAGCCACGAUAAAACUCAGAUUUCUCCUAAACCAACCGUUGAAACACGAUCUCCACCGUUGAAUCUCAAGACCACUGAGUCACGAAGCUACCUUCCAAAAAUCAGCCAAAUCGGAGCUCGUUUGAGUGUCCAAACGAUUAACAAAAUCAAAAGACGCUCGAGAAAGAAGAAUAAGAGAGAAAGCAAGAUUAGAAACUAGAACCAAAGCUCUGAUACCAUGUAAAUAUUUAAGAUUUCAAGUAGGAAAUGUUGAAUGGAUCAUGAUUAAAGAUGGAGAGAAAAGAUAGAAAUGUAUUGAUUAAGAAGAAGAAGAUACAUGAGUAGGCGGCUGUGUGGCUUUAUAUAGAACAGAUUCUAGGUAUGAUGGGUUACGCACAUUACAAGCAUUACGUGGGUUACGCAUAUUACAAGCAUUACGUCCUCAUUCUCCUUUUACAAAGCGCACACUUUAGCCAGCCUUGAUACAGCUCACUAACGGUCUUAGAACUCAAGUAACUGUAUUUAACAUAUAACUAUUAAUUAGUUCAUGUUAAAUACCUUCUUGAUUAACA